AUGCAGUCGAGCGAACAGGAUAAGGAGCUUGCUCCUUUGAAGUUAGCGGCGGACGGGUGAGUAACACGUGGGUAACCUACCUAUAAGACUGGAAUAACUUCGGGAAACCGGAGCUAAUGCCGGAUAACAUAUAGAACCGCAUGGUUCUAUAGUGAAAGAUGGUUUUGCUAUCACUUAUAGAUGGACCCGCGCCGUAUUAGCUAGUUGGUAAGGUAAAGGCUUACCAAGGCGACGAUACGUAGCCGACCUGAGAGGGUGAUCGGCCACACUGGAACUGAGACACGGUCCAGACUCCUACGGGAGGCAGCAGUAGGGAAUCUUCCGCAAUGGGCGAAAGCCUGACGGAGCAACGCCGCGUGAGUGAUGAAGGUUUUCGGAUCGUAAAACUCUGUUAUUAGGGAAGAACAAAUGCGUAAGUAACUGUGCGCAUCUUGACGGUACCUAAUCAGAAAGCCACGGCUAACUACGUGCCAGCAGCCGCGGUAAUACGUAGGUGGCAAGCGUUAUCCGGAAUUAUUGGGCGUAAAGCGCGCGUAGGCGGUUUCUUAAGUCUGAUGUGAAAGCCCACGGCUCAACCGUGGAGGGUCAUUGGAAACUGGGAAACUUGAGUGCAGAAGAGGAAAGUGGAAUUCCAUGUGUAGCGGUGAAAUGCGCAGAGAUAUGGAGGAACACCAGUGGCGAAGGCGACUUUCUGGUCUGUAACUGACGCUGAUGUGCGAAAGCGUGGGGAUCAAACAGGAUUAGAUACCCUGGUAGUCCACGCCGUAAACGAUGAGUGCUAAGUGUUAGGGGUUUCCGCCCCUUAGUGCUGCAGCUAACGCAUUAAGCACUCCGCCUGGGGAGUACGACCGCAAGGUUGAACUCAAGGAAUUGACGGGGACCCGCACAAGCGGUGGAGCAUGUGGUUUAAUUCGAAGCAACGCGAAGAACCUUACCAAAUCUUGACAUCCUUUGAAACUCUAGAGAUAGAGCCUUCCCCUUCGGGGGACAAGUGACAGGUGGUGCAUGGUUGUCGUCAGCUCGUGUCGUGAGAUGUUGGGUAGUCCCGCA
rnacentral:rRNA from 1 species